AUUGAACGCUGGCGGCAGGCCUAACACAUGCAAGUCGAGCGGAUGACGGGAGCUUGCUCCUUGAUUCAGCGGCGGACGGGUGAGUAAUGCCUAGGAAUCUGCCUGGUAGUGGGGGACAACGUUUCGAAAGGAACGCUAAUACCGCAUACGUCCUACGGGAGAAAGCAGGGGACCUUCGGGCCUUGCGCUAUCAGAUGAGCCUAGGUCGGAGUAGCUAGUAGGUGAGGUAAUGGCUCACCUAGGCGACGAUCCGUAACUGGUCUGAGAGGAUGAUCAGUCACACUGGAACUGAGACACGGUCCAGACUCCUACGGGAGGCAGCAGUGGGGAGUAUUGGACAAUGGGCGAAAGCCUGAUCCAGCCAUGCCGCGUGUGUGAAGAAGGUCUUCGGAUUGUAAAGCACUUUAAGUUGGGAGGAAGGGCAGUAAGCUAAUACCUUGCUGUUUUGACGUUACCGGCAGAAUAAGCACCGGCUAACUCUGUGCCAGCAGCCGCCGUAAUAC
rnacentral:rRNA from 1 species